rnacentral:rRNA from 1 species
UGGCAAAAUAGGAAGCUUCAACCUUCAAAUUCUUGGUUCAAGUCCAAGUACUCUUGAUGCGAAGCAUAGCUUCGCAUAAAUGAUAAACGGAUUAGGGCCGGCGUGGGUAGGCAUCUCGUUUGGGGCGGGAGAUAGUUAUGUUCGAAUCAUAAUAAUCCGAUUAUUAGAACUAUUAGAAAUAAAGAAAAACUGAUAUAUAAUUAUUAAUUAUAAAAAUAUAAGUAUACAAAGAAACUAUUAUGGAAUUUAAGCUAUGUAUUAAAGAGAAUAAGUUACAUAAAUAAGUAAAAACUCUUAUAAAUGUAUAAACUCUAAGAGAAAUCUAAUACUAAACGAAGUGAAUUGAAAUAUCUUAGUAACUUCAGGAAAAGAAAUCAAAAGAGAUUCUAUGAAUAGCGUGAGCGAAAGUAGAGGAGCCUAAAAAGUAGAACGGUAUCAAAACUGUUUAAAUAUUGGGGAACCUUCCUCAAAGGCUAAAUAUAAUACAUAAGCGAUAGUGAAAAGUACCAUGAGGGAACAAAAACAAAAAUAGUAGUUUUAUAAGCAGUUCGUGAGCGCAAGCUCUAGAACGUACCUUUUGCAUAAUGGGUCACCAAGUUAACAUUAGAUGCGAGCUGAAAAGUAAGCGUAGUUAAACCGAACGUUAAAAUAAUGAAUAAGUGUCUAAAGUUAGACCCGAAGCCAGGUGAUUUUACCAUGGUCAGGAUUAUAAAAGUCCGAACGGGUGAUUGUAGCAAAAAUCUCCGAAGAACCGUGGUAGGUGUAGUGAAAGACAACACUGACUUGGAUAGCUGGUUUUCUGCGAAACCUAUAAUAGUAGGCAAUUUAAGUAAACAUCUUAGCAGGUACAGAAUUUAAUCUCAGACAAGGCAUUUUAUAUGUUUUAUAUUGUACAAAUUGGGGGACCAUGAAGGUUUUAUCAGUGAGUAUGUAGACUCGGAAUGGCAAAGAUGUAUCUUAAAUGAUCAGACAUAGAAUGAUAAGGUUGUAUGUCGAAAGGGAAACAGCCCAGAACAAGAGUUAAGGUUCCUAAAUUAUUAGUUGAGUGAAAUUAAGAAGGUUUUUAUUAAAGUCGACAAGGAGAUAGGCUUAGAAGCAGCCAUAAUUUUAUGACCUCGUAACAGAGCGCUUGUUAAGUUAUAAAAGCAUCGAAAAUUUAACGGAUCUAAACAAUAUACCGAAACCUUGUCCAUGAUAUAUUAUAAUGAUAAUAUUAUUAUAAUUUAAUGGGGUAGCAGAACGUUGAGCUAAAUUACGAGUUUUAUUUUUUUAAAUAGAAUGAUAAUGAUUUAACUCAAGUGAGAAUGGUGACAUGAGUAACUAAAAGAAAAUUUUCCGCCUUAAGCUUAUGGAUAUAUUUAAGUAACGGCCUCUAAGUUUAUAUUAUCUAAAGAUUUAAACGAUGAGAAAAUCUUUUUUACUAAGGACGACAUUUUAGUGUAAAAUGUACUGGAAAAAUAGUAAAUAUAUUUAUAGUAAGCGUAAGUUUAUUAUAAAUGAAGAAUAACCGUACCUAGAAUCUGAAACAAGUAAGCUAGUAGAGAAUACGAAGGCGUAAAUGGGCUAACAAUCAUAAAGGAACUCGGCAAAUUGACUACCGUAACUUCGGAAUAAGGAGGGCUCAUUAUUCUUGAUUAAUAUCAAGUAAAGAGGAAGAAGCAUGAAAUAAUGUUGUACGACUGUUUAAUUAAAACACAGCACUCUGCUGAAAGAUGAAAAAUCUAAGUAUAGAGUGUGAUAUCUGCCCGGUGCCGGCUGGUUAACAGAGAUAAUUUAAUAUACUACUAUUUGAUGUCGACGGAAACCCCGGUUAAAGGCGGCCUUAACGUGAGGGUCCUAAGGUAGCGAAAUGCCUUGGCCGUUAAAUGCGGUCUUGCAUGAAUGGUGUAACGAUACAACAGCUGUCUCUAUGAUUGACCCAGUGAAAUUGGAAUAGCAGUGCAGAUACUGCUUACCUCUAGUUAGACGAGAAGACCCUAUGCAGCUUUACUGUCACUAAUUAUAGAUUAUGAUAGACAAUUUUCAGAUUAUAAGGUAAUUGAUUUAUGACAAUGAGAAACCUUUAUUUUUCUUUCAUAUGAAUGAAUUGGUUUAGGAGUAUAAGUAGAUUAUAGUUUAUGUGACUUUACUGAGUCAACUUGUUAAAUUAUAGUCUGUAUGCUUAUACUAGUAGAUCAGCCUAAUUCAACUUACUAUAUUUAUUAUAGUAGGUACCCUUUGGUAAGGAACUAUCGCUAGGGGACAGUUUAUGUGGGGCACAGACCCUGUAAAGAGUAAACAGGAGUGUCUAAAAAUUUAUAAAUAUUUUGUUUGCAAUUUUGAAUAAGAAUUUAUUCUUAUUUUUAAUCAUAUACAAUUGAUUAUAUUUGCAUUUAUUGUAAAUAUAGUUAAGAUUAGGUAGGAUUUUCACUAUAUAGAAAUUAGAGAUAAUAAAAAUAUUAUGGAGAAGUUCUUCUAAUAUUUUUUAGCUAUUUAUUAAAUAGUUAUGUUUACAAUAUCUAAAAAGCUCAACGGCUUAAUCCUGCCUUACUGUUUGAUUAUCUACAAAUCUUACAGUUGCGUAAGCAGGGCAUAGGAUCACAAGAUGCAACAAGGAAAGAUCUUGGAUUAUUGGAAAAGCUACGCUAGGGAUGUUUGUCCUUUAAUAUUUUAUAUUGUAUGGUUAACUAAAGUUAUACCUCUGUACGGUGUAUACCUGCACGCACGCACGCAUGCAAACAUAUAAA